GCAGGGUGCGGUGGUGCACGUCUGUAAUCCCAGCUACCCUGGAGGCUGAGCCAGGAGGAUUGCAAGUUCGAGGCCAGCCUGAGCAAAUUAGAAAGAUCCUGUCUCAA
rnacentral:sRNA from 1 species